AUGAACGCUAGCUACAGGCUUAACACAUGCAAGUCGAGGGGCAGCAUGGUCUUAGCUUGCUAAGGCCGAUGGCGACCGGCGCACGGGUGAGUAACACGUAUCCAACCUGCCGUCUACUCUUGGACAGCCUUCUGAAAGGAAGAUUAAUACAAGAUGGCAUCAUGAGUCCGCAUGUUCACAUGAUUAAAGGUAUUCCGGUAGACGAUGGGGAUGCGUUCCAUUAGAUAGUAGGCGGGGUAACGGCCCACCUAGUCUUCGAUGGAUAGGGGUUCUGAGAGGAAGGUCCCCCACAUUGGAACUGAGACACGGUCCAAACUCCUACGGGAGGCAGCAGUGAGGAAUAUUGGUCAAUGGGCGAGAGCCUGAACCAGCCAAGUAGCGUGAAGGAUGACUGCCCUAUGGGUUGUAAACUUCUUUUAUAAAGGAAUAAAGUCGGGUAUGGAUACCCGUUUGCAUGUACUUUAUGAAUAAGGAUCGGCUAACUCCGUGCCAGCAGCCGCGGUAAUACGGAGGAUCCGAGCGUUAUCCGGAUUUAUUGGGUUUAAAGGGAGCGUAGAUGGAUGUUUAAGUCAGUUGUGAAAGUUUGCGGCUCAACCGUAAAAUUGCAGUUGAUACUGGAUAUCUUGAGUGCAGUUGAGGCAGGCGGAAUUCGUGGUGUAGCGGUGAAAUGCUUAGAUAUCACGAAGAACUCCGAUUGCGAAGGCAGCCUGCUAAGCUGCAACUGACAUUGAGGCUCGAAAGUGUGGGUAUCAAACAGGAUUAGAUACCCUGGUAGUCCACACGGUAAACGAUGAAUACUCGCUGUUUGCGAUAUACAGCAAGCGGCCAAGCGAAAGCGUUAAGUAUUCCACCUGGGGAGUACGCCGGCAACGGUGAAACUCAAAGGAAUUGACGGGGGCCCGCACAAGCGGUGGAUUAUGUGGUUUAAUUCGAAGCAACGCGAAGAACCUUACCAGGGCUUGACAUCCUACUAACGAGAUAGAGAUAUGUUAGGUGCCCUUCGGGGAAAGUAGAGACAGGUGGUGCAUGGUUGUCGUCAGCUCGUGCCGUGAGGUGUCGGCUUAAGUGCCAUAACGAGCGCAACCCUUGUUGUCAGUUACUAACAGGUUCCGCUGAGGACUCUGACAAGACUGCCAUCGUAAGAUGUGAGGAAGGUGGGGAUGACGUCAAAUCAGCACGGCCCUUACGUCCGGGGCUACACACGUGUUACAAUGGGGGGUACAGAGGGCCGCUACCACGCGAGUGGAUGCCAAUCCCCAAAACCUCUCUCAGUUCGGACUGGAGUCUGCAACCCGACUCCACGAAGCUGGAUUCGCUAGUUAUCGCGCAUCAGCCACGGCGCGGUGAAUACGUUCCCGGGCCUUGUACACACCGCCCGUCAAGCCAUGGGAGCCGGGGGUACCUGAAGUGCGUAACCGCGAGGAGCGCCCUAGGGUAAAACUGGUGACUGGGGCU
rnacentral:rRNA from 1 species